rnacentral:rRNA from 1 species
AGAGUUUGAUCAUGGCUCAGAGCGAACGCUGGCGGCAGGCCUAACACAUGCAAGUCGAACGGACCCUUCGGGGUUAGUGGCGGACGGGUGAGUAACACGUGGGAACGUGCCUUUAGGUUCGGAAUAGCUCCUGGAAACGGGUGGUAAUGCCGAAUGUGCCCUUCGGGGGAAAGAUUUAUCGCCUUUAGAGCGGCCCGCGUCUGAUUAGCUUGUUGGUGAGGUAAUGGCUCACCAAGGCUACGACCAGUAGCUGGUCUGAGAGGAUGACCAGCCACAUUGGGACUGAGACACGGCCCAAACUCCUACGGGAGGCAGCAGUGGGGAAUCUUGCGCAAUGGGCGAAAGCCUGACGCAGCCAUGCCGCGUGGAUGAUGAAGGUCUUAGGAUUGUAAAAUCCUUUCACCGGUGAAGAUAAUGACUGUAGCCGGAGAAGAAGCCCCGGCUAACUUCGUGCCAGCAGCCGCGGUAAUACGAAGGGGGCUAGCGUUGCUCGGAAUUACUGGGCGUAAAGGGAGCGUAGGCGGACAUUUAAGUCAGGGGUGAAAUCCCAGAGCUCAACUCUGGAACUGCCUUUGAUACUGGGUGUCUUGAGUGUGAUAGAGGUAUGUGGAACUCCGAGUGUAGAGGUGAAAUUCGUAGAUAUUCGGAAGAACACCAGUGGCGAAGGCGACAUACUGGAUCAUUACUGACGCUGAGGCUCGAAAGCGUGGGGAGCAAACAGGAUUAGAUACCCUGGUAGUCC